rnacentral:tRNA from 1 species
AAAAAGUAGCUUAAGAUAAAGCAUUCGACUAACAACCGGAAAAUAUUGCGCCCGAUCUUUUUGA